rnacentral:RNase_P_RNA from 1 species
UUAGUCAGUCGGACAGUCGCGCUUAUAAUGAGUGAUGAAAGUCCGGGCUUUACAGAGCAAGAUGCCAGAUAACGUCUGGGAGGCGAGAGCCUACGGAAAGUGCACCAGAAAAUAUACCGAGUUAUUAUGUAAGGUAAGGGUGUAAAGGUGUGGUAAGAGCGCACCGCAUUGGGGGU